rnacentral:rRNA from 1 species
UACGGAGGGUGCAAGCGUUAUCCGGAUUCACUGGGUUUAAAGGGAGCGUAGGUGGGAUUGUAAGUCAGUGGUGAAAUCUCCGGGCUUAACUCGGAAACUGCCGUUGAUACUAUAAUUCUUGAAUAUUGUGGAGGUAAGCGGAAUAUGUCAUGUAGCGGUGAAAUGCUUAGAUAUGACAUAGAACACCGAUAGCGAAGGCAAGACUCUGGACAAAUGCUGACGCUCAUGCACGAAGGCUAGGGUAGCGAACGGG